GAUGAACGCUGGCGGCGUGCCUAAUACAUGCAAGUCGAGCGAAUGGAUUAAGAGCUUGCUCUUAUGAAGUUAGCGGCGGACGGGUGAGUAACACGUGGGUAACCUGCCCAUAAGACUGGGAUAACUCCGGGAAACCGGGGCUAAUACCGGAUAACAUUUUGAACCGCAUGGUUCGAAAUUGAAAUGCGGCUUCGGCUGUCACUUAUGGAUGGACCCGCGUCGCAUUAGCUAGUUGGUGAGGUAACGGCUCACCAAGGCAAUGAUGCGUAGCCGACCUGAGAGGGUGAUCGGCCACACUGGGACUGAGACACGGCCCAGACUCCUACGGGAGGCAGCAGUAGGGAAUCUUCCGCAAUGGACGAAAGUCUGACGGAGCAACGCCGCGUGAGUGAUGAAGGCUUUCGGGUCGUAAAACUCUGUUGUUAGGGAAGAACAAGUGCUAGUUGAAUAAGCUGGCACCUUGACGGUACCUAACCAGAAAGCCACGGCUAACUACGUGCCAGCCGCCGCGGUAA
rnacentral:rRNA from 1 species